rnacentral:rRNA from 1 species
ACAGAGGGUGCGAGCGUUGUUCGGAAUUAUUGGGCGUAAAGGGCGCGUAGGCGGUGCGGUAAGUCACCUGUGAAAUCUCCUGGCUCAACUGGGAGCUUGCAGGCGAAACUGCCGUGCUGGAGUGUGGGAGAGGUGCGUGGAAUUCCCGGUGUAGCGGUGAAAUGCGUAGAUAUCUGGAGGAACACCGGUGGCGAAGGCGGCAUCCUGGACCGGUAUUGACGCUGAGGCGCGAAAGCCAGGGGAGCAAACGGGA